CCUACGGGGGGCAGCAGUGGGGAAUAUUGCACAAUGGGGGCAACCCUGAUGCAGCGACGCCGCGUGAGUGAAGAAGGAAUUCGUUAUGUAAAGCUCUAUCAGCAGGGAAGAAAAUGACGGUACCUGAGUAAGAAGCCCCGGCUAACUACGUGCCAGCAGCCGCGGUAAUACGUAGGGGGCAAGCGUUAUCCGGAUUUACUGGGUGGAAAGGGAGCGUAGCCGGCAGUACAAGUCUGGAGUGAAAGGCGGGGGCUCAACCCCCGAACUGCUCUGGAAACUGUACGGCUGGAGUGCAGGAGAGGUAAGUGGAAUUCCUAGUGUAGCGGUGAAAUGCGUAGAUAUUAGGAGGAACACCAGUGGCGAAGGCGGCUUACUGGACUGUAACUGACGUUGAGGCUCGAAAGCGUGGGGAGCAAACAGGAUUAGAUACCCCUGUAGUC
rnacentral:rRNA from 1 species